rnacentral:piRNA from 1 species
CAUGGCAUGUAGUUUGUGAGAAGUC